rnacentral:rRNA from 1 species
AAAUUGAAGAGUUUGAUCAUGGCUCAGAUUGAACGCUGGCGGCAGGCCUAACACAUGCAAGUCGAACGGUAACAGAAAGCAGCUUGCUGCUUUGCUGACGAGUGGCGGACGGGUGAGUAAUGUCUGGGAAACUGCCCGAUGGAGGGGGAUAACUACUGGAAACGGUAGCUAAUACCGCAUAACGUCGCAAGACCAAAGAGGGGGACCUUCGGGCCU